ensembl:lncRNA
ACCAGAAGAAUUUCUGAAAGCUUUUCCAUUGCUGUUCUUAGAUUCAAUCAGUACAGAGGAUGACUUGGAUUCAAUCUAUCCUAUAACUGAGGAUAUCUCUGAAGGUUUAUGGUCAAAGUCUUUCACAGAUGUAGUCCUAUUGAAAUCAGCUAUUCUGGCACUUCAUAUGGGGGCUUGUCCAGGAUCCCAUGAAGGAAAUGGAGUCUGACUAACACAGGGAGGGGACUCCUGUCACCAGGGCAACUCAAGAAGAUGGGAUCCGGAACACAUCACAUCUUGGUGGAGGAUGGUAGGAUCCAGUGAGUAGCCUCUGGAGGAGUUGAAUGAAUAUGUGGAUAAUGUUGUGUGAGAGUGAGGGGGUUGGGUCUCCUGAGUCAUUGACAUAUGGCUAAGUGGCUGACCACUAGUCACCAUCCCCGGGAGUUGUACAAGGACAGCCUAUUGCCAAGCCGGACUGUUUCAGAAGAACUGCCCACCUAUUUCUGAGUGUGGACCAGGAAAGUCGUCAGUCUCUAUUUCACGCGAGAGGAUAGGUUGGAAAUCCUGGGAAGUGUGUGGAGGAAGACUGUGACACCCCUCUUGGCUACCUUCACCCAACUCCUUCUCCCUUGGAUGAGCCAUGGGAAGGACCUGUCAGACUUGACUCCCUUAAACAAGAUAUUCUGGCCAGUUGAUUUUAGUCGGCUUUAUUUGUGGGGUUAGUGUCCCCACUGCUGGGGUUAGAGGCCCUUGCCCUAGCUUCAAGUCCCUGGUUCAGGGUGGUUAGAGGCCCCCCGGUUGGAGUUUGGGGUGGUUAGAUGCCCCCCUGGUUAGAAUUCAGGGUGGUUAGAGGCUCCAGAUUGGAAUUAGAAAACCCAACGGAUGCGCUGGAGGAAGGGUUGCGGCCCUGGGGGAAGCCUGGCCACACCGCUCUGUUUUGGGGACCACUCACCCCUGGCCCCUUGGGGAUAUUAUGGGACAAGGAGAGUCGACCCCAAAGGUCCACUCCGCUCUCCCUCAUGACUACCCAUUUCUCUGUCUUAAAGGGAGGAAGAGGGUUGAUUCUGAACAGAAAGACAAUUGAAACAUCACAUACCAACUCUGCAAAAAACUCAGGAAUUCAAUUUCUUAAAGGGAUCUAUUCCGGUCAGAAGAUGACUUCUGAAGAAAUCUGUUGGCUAAGAUGCCCAAAUGCAAAUGUUUAAUAUAAGUUUCUAGUGUAUUAAUUAUCUCUGUUUAUAUCUGUUGCUCUAGUUUUUGCCCCAAUUUCUACACUUGUAUCUUAGGGGCUGACUCUCCCCCUUGUAACCUGUCUGCCAAUUGGGGGAAGCAGUCUCUGGACAUCCUUCAGAUCUCCAAGCAGGUCCCCACCUACCUAGGACCCAGGCAUUCACUGAAUGCACGCCCCUAAUGACCCUGUGCCUAUAGCCUUUCCCUCCCUGUUCAAGUUAUGGCUACUCUCCUGUGGGAUAUGUGGACCUUGCAUAUGUAACCUCAUCACUUCUCUAGUUGCCUCUAGGGUAAAAGCACUCAUGGGAGUCACCCAGAUGCCACUGUAACCUCAGCAACCAUCCCAGCCUGAAACCCUGGACAUUGCCUAUAGUCAAUACCUCUCUUUUUCCUGACAAUAGUCAGGGACAGCUCUACAACCAUUCUCAGCUCUGAAGAAGCUACAGAAUACGGAGACCAUCACCCUUUUUCCCUUACAUAUCUGGAGAGGGGAGAGGUGACAUGGGUGUUGCACCCCCAGAAACUCGGGCAAACUAUUGUCGGGGGGAUUCCUUUGCUCCCUUACAUCCUUGUAACUCCUAGCCUAAAACAUCAAUGCCUCCUCUAUAUUUAAGAUGGACAGAGGGAUGCACCUCCAGGCUACACCUCAAUUCUAUCUGGCUGUCUCUUAGAUAUUUCUCUGUUCCUUAAAACCAAAGAAUCUUUUAUGAGGGUCAUUCCCUAUGUCUCCAGACAGGCCCCAGUCAGAUAACAAAACCCCUGACUGAAUGAAAAAAGAACCCAUUAAGGUCAUAACAUUGGCUGCUAUCUUUGGUCUGGCCGGGGUUGGGACAGGGAUAGCUUCCCUCACCCUAUACCACCAGAGUCUGGCAGCCCUUAGGGUGAUGGUAGAUGAGGAUUUGGCUCAUAUAGAGGCAUCCAUCACCCAUUUGGAGGAAUCCUUAACCUCUCUAUCGUAGGUGGCACUCCAAAAUG